AUAAACUGGAGAUCUUGUUAAAAUGCAGAUUUUGAUUCAGGGGUGAAGCCUGAAUUUCUGAAUGUCUAACAAGCUCACCAGUCAUGUUAAUGCUUCU
rnacentral:miRNA from 1 species